CAUUGACAUUGUUAGAAAGAACGUUUGCCAAAGAAUACCAAUUUCAUAUAUUUAUACUAUGUCUUUUAAGUUAGAACUAGCCUUUAGAUUAUCCUAACUUAUCUAACACAGCUGAUAGGACAGAUAUAACGUGCAAGGCUAAAAAUAUCCGCACGGUAAGGUUAAAUAUAAUAAAAUUCCGACAAUUCCAUCGGUUAAUUCCACCUUAACUUCAAAUACACCGAUCAACGUUCCUUCGUUAAACGCCUGUUAUUUAUUGCCACGUGUUAUCUUCGUGGAGCAUACACUGUCCAAACAAAUGCGUGUUUUUAGGCAGAAAUUUGCCACAUAAAAAUCACGAACAUCAGUGCCUCCACAUUAAAAGCAAAAACGCGUUGAAAACCUGCUAACCGAAGGAAUAUUCUCAACGAAAGUCAUCAUGCCGCCAUACCUUGUGACUUUCUUACUUGUCGUUGUGGUCCUCGCUGAUUUAGGCUCGAGUGCAACCGCAUCAGUUUGCUCAACAAACGAAGAAUGGAUUCGUUGUGGACUGUCGUGCGAACCCAGUUGCGGCGAUAGACACCCGAAUAUCACAAACCCCUGUCCCCGCAGUUCCCGCAGUCACCGUAGUCUACGUAUUGAACUUUUUCCAGGUGGUCCUGGUCCCGUAUGCGUUUCCGGCCCCAGCUGUCAGUGUGUCGGAGGUACUUUACGAAACGAAGCCACUAACGAAUGUGUACUACCGGAAAACUGUCCAUAAGAUACCUAACACUCAUAUGAGGUACUUACAUAUAAGGAAAGUAGGAUAUUCUUCCAAAUGAUUGCGGUGGGUACGAUAUUUGAAACUCCGCCGACAUCAGCUGGAUACUUUCUGCGAUUGAAUAUCGAGCGAGAAAAACAUAAAAUUAAAAAUGCAAAAGAAGACGAGGAUUUAAUCGACGAUUACGGAAUGCUAUUUUAAAUUCAUACUACUUGGGAAACAUAAUGGAGACAGAUAGCGACGCAGGUUUUUCCUUCGUCGAAACCAUUGUAUCGAACCUUCGCCGGCUUAGCGGAGAAAAGAAUUCCUGGCUUGUGCCACUUGGUGGAUUUCACCGGACGGCAUCUUGUUGGGAUGGAACAUUCAUGAGAGGUUCCCCCGUUCGGCAAUGCAACUUUUAUAGGGGCAAGACUCGGGGUGGGUCAUCGCAUUUAUACUUACAUUCUCUCUUUCGAACUCACGUAUCCCGUAAUCGCGUGUUCCGCCGCGAAUAAUUGAUGCGCGCGGGUGCCUUCCCCACACUCGCAGUGUGUGACGUACCGUUCGAUAGAAGAUUGAACUCACCGACAAAUUACGAUCUUUCGUGGCUAAAAUCGAAUCCUUCCUGAUUUAUUGGGUCCAGUCACGAGAAAUCAAAAUUAUUUCGUUAUCGAAUAUUAAAUAAAAAAAGAAAAUGAAAGAAAAUCAAAUAUAUAUAUAUAGGGUGAGUGUCUCCUAACACGACGACUUAAAAUAACUCGUAAGUUAUUCGUUGUACGAAAAAAUGUUUCAAAUAAAAGUUGCACGGUAUCUAGGGGGACAUACAGCGCUUUAAUCUGUUUUUUAUUACCUUACUUUUAUAGCGAGAUAUUAGGGUCACCUUCAGUUUUUUAAAUGGAACGUCCAAUAUUUUUUCUCAAAUUUAGAUAAAUCGUCAAAUUUGCACCUUUUAAUAAAAAGUGUUACACGAGGCGGGACUUAAAAUGAAUAUUUUAAAACAGGUUUUAUUUCAAGCGAAUUUAUCUAUUUCAAAGUGCUGUUCAUUACGCGUUGAUGCACUUGCGUAAUCGAAUUAUCAGUGAGCGAAGAAUAUUUUCGAGCGUUCCUGUGGUUAUGGCAGCGCAUGCACUAAUAAUACGUUCUCGCAUAUUUUCCACCGUCGUUGAUGGCUCGCGAUAAACCUCAUUUUUUAGUGUUCCCCGAAGGAAAUAAUCGAGCCAAGAUAACAAAACCUAAGGUUUACAAACACGACCUAUGGCAAACAAAGCCGUGUUAAGAAUCACGUUGACCGGGCGUACUUCCUAAUAUCAAAUUCCUAGCAUCAUUAAUUUGAAAAUACCUCAGUGAUUAUUCCUUUCAAGUUCCACUUCGCGUAAUAC